UACGGAGGGUGCGAGCGUUGUCCGGAAUCACUGGGCGUAAAGGGCGCGUAGGUGGCCUGUGGAAGUCUGCGGUGAAAGCCCGGCGCCCAACGCCGGGUCGGCCGUGGAUACUCUCGGGCUUGAGCUUACUAGAGGCAGAUGGAAUUCCGGGUGUAGCGGUGGAAUGCGUAGAGAUCCGGAAGAACACCGGUGGCGAAGGCGGUCUGCUGGGGUAAUGCUGGACACUGAUGCGCGACAGCGUGGGGAGCAAACAGG
rnacentral:rRNA from 1 species